GAACUUAAGCAUAUCAAUAAGCGGAGGAAAAGAAACCAACAGGGAUUGCCUCAGUAACGGCGAGUGAAGCGGCAACAGCUCAAAUUUGAAAUCUGGCUCACGCCCGAGUUGUAAUUUGUAGAGGAUGUUUCGGGUGAAGCCGCGGUCCAAGUCCCUUGGAACAGGACGUCAUAGAGGGUGAGAACCCCGUACCUGGCCGCCGGUGCCCCCCGCUGUGAAACUCCUUCGACGAGUCGAGUUGUUUGGGAAUGCAGCUCUAAAUUGGUGGUAAAUUCCAUCUAAAGCUAAAUACCGGCCAGAGACCGAUAGCGCACAAGUAGAGUGAUCGAAAGAUGAAAAGCACUUUGAAAAGAGAGUUAAAAAGUACGUGAAAUUGUUGAAAGGGAAGCGCUUGCGGCCAGACUUGCCCGCGGUUGCUCAGCCCGCCUUUUGGCGGGUGUACUCUUCCGCGGUCAGGCCAGCAUCGGUUUGGGCGGUCGGAUAAAGGCGCCGGGAACGUGGCCUCCCCUCGGGGAGGUGUUAUAGCCCGGCGCGCAAUGCGGCCAGCCCGGACCGAGGUUCGCGCUUUGCUAGGAUGCUGGCGUAAUGGCCGUAAGCGGCCCGUCUUGAAACACGGACCAAGGAGUCUAACAUCUAUGCGAGUGUUUGGGUGUCAAACCCGUGCGCGUAAUGAAAGUGAACGGAGGUGGGAACCGCAAGGUGCACCAUCGACCGAUCCUGAUGUCUUCGGAAGGAUUUGAGUAAGAGCAUAGCUGUUGGGACCCGAAA
rnacentral:rRNA from 1 species